rnacentral:rRNA from 1 species
GAUGAACGCUGGCGGCGUGCUUAACACAUGCAAGUCGAACGGAAAGACGCGGCUCUUGCUCGUCGGACGUUAGCCGCGGAAGUGAGAGAAACACGUGUAUCACGUCCUUGUAAGUCUGUGAUCACUACGGGAAACCGGAGCUAAUACCAGAUAAGAUCUUGAACCGCGGGGUGCAAUGGUGAAAGACGGUUUUGCUGUCUCUUAUAGAUGGAUCCGCGCCGGAUUAGAUAGUUGGUCAGGUAAAGGCUUACCAAGGCAACGAUGCGUAGCCGACCUGAGAGGGGGAUCGGCCACACUGGAACUGAGACACGGACCAGACUCCUACGGGAGGCAGCAGUAGGGAAUCUUCGGCAAUGGGCGAAAGCCUGACGCAGCAACGCCGCGUGCGGGAUGAAGGCCUUCGGAUCGUAAACCGCUGUUAUUAGGGACGAACAGAUUUGGAAUUAAACACGGAGGUAUUGACGGUACCGAAUCAAAAAGCAACGGCUAACUACGUG